GCUCAUUAAAUCAGUUAUGGUUCCUUUGGUCUCUCCUCUCCCACUCGCUGAAUAGCUGCGGUAACUCUAGAGCCAACACAUGCUGACGAGCACUGGGCCUCCGGGGCCGUGGGCAUUAACCAGACCCAAACCAACCCGGUCCCGCUUGGCAGCUUUUGUGACUCUAGAUGACCUCGAGCUGAUCGCAUAACCCCAUGGCAGCGACGACCCGUUCGAAUGUCUGCCCUGUCAACUGCUGGUGGUGCUGCCUGUGCCUGCUGGGGUGACCACGGGGGACAGGGAAUCAGGGUUCGAUUCGGGAGGGGGAGCCCGAGAAGCAGCUGCCACUUCCAAGGAAGGCAGCAGGCAUGCAAAUUACCCACUCCUGACCCGGGGAGGUAGUGAUGAAAAAUAACAAUACAGGACUCUUUCAAGGCCUUUUAAUUGAAAUGAGCGCAUUUUAAAUCCUCAAGUCUGGUGCCUGCAGCCACGGUAAUUCCAAAUCCAGUAGCGUAUCUUAAAGUUGCUGCAGUUAAAAAGCUUGUAGUUGGAUCUUGGGAUCAAGCUGGCGAGCCACCGCCUGUCCCAGCCCCUGCCUCUCAGCACCCCCUUGAUGUUCUUAGCUGAGUGUCCUGUGGGGCCCAAAGCACUCUGAGAAAAUUAGAGUGUUCAAAGCAGGUCAGCCGCUGGCAUACUGCAGGUAGGAAUAAUGGAACAGGACUCUGUUUCUAUUCUGUUGGUUUUCAGAAAUGGGGCUAUUAUUAGGAGUGGUGGCCAGGGGCAUUCAUAUUGUGCUGUUAGAGGUGAAAUUCUUGGACCUGCGCAAGGUGGCCUAGAGCGAAAGUGUUUGCCAAGAAUGUUCUCAUUAAUCAAGAACAAAAGUCAGAGGUUCGAACGUGAUCAGAUACCGUCAUAAUUCUGACCAUAAACGAUGCCGACUGGCGAUCCGGCGGCGUUAUUCCCAUGGCCUGCCGGGCAGCUCCCAGGAAACCCAAGUCUUUGGGUUCUGGGGGGAGUAUGGUUGCAAAACUGAAACUUAAAGGAAUUGUCAGAAGGGCACCACCAGGAGUGGAGCCUGCGGCUUAAUUUGACUCAACAUGGGAAGCCUCCCCCGUCCCGGACACAGACAGGAUUGACAGAUUGAGAGCUUUCUCAAUUCCGUGGGUGGUGGCGCACGGCUGUUAUUAGUUAGUGGAGUGAUUUGUCUGGUUAAUUCCGAUAAUGAACAAGACUCUGGCAUGCUAACUAGUUACGUGACCCCCGAGCGGUCGGCGUCCAAACUCUUAGAGGGACAAGUGGUGUUCAGCCACCCGAGAUUGAGCAAUAACAGGUCUGUGAUGCCCUUAGAUGUCCGGGGCCACAUGCGCGCUACACUGACUGGCUCAGCUGGUGCAUACCCUCCGCCGGCAGGCACGGGUAACCCGUUGAACCCCACUCGUGGUGGGGAUUGGGGAUUGCAGUUCUUCCCCAUGAAUGAGGAAUUCCCAGUAAGUCUGGGUCAUAAGCUCAUGUUGAUUUAGUUCCUGCCCUUUUUGCACACCACGUCACUACUACCAAUUGGAUGGUUUAGUGAGGUCCUUGGAUUGGCCCCAGCAAGGUCGGAGCAUUGGUGAGAUGGUCAAACUUGACUAUCUAGAGGAGGUAGUAGUCAUACCAAGGUUUCCAUAGGUGAACCUGGGGAAGGUUCAUUA
rfam:Tyto alba contig36659, whole genome shotgun sequence.